rnacentral:lncRNA from 1 species
UCACUUUGAAGUUCCAGGAGUGAUCCUUGUCGGGUCUGCUUCUAUUGAUGAAAAGGAAAACGUAGAAGCUACCUUAGCCAAUGAAGAAGAAGCUACCUUAGCCAAUGAAGCAAGCGCCAGAGGUACCUUAGCCAAUGAAGCAAGCGCCGAAGCUGCCUUAGCCAAUGAAGAAGAAGAAGCUACCUUAGCCAAUGAAGCAAGCGCUGAAGCUACCUUAGCCAAUGAAGCAAGUGCUGAAGCUACCUUAGCCAAUGAAGCAAGGGCUGAAGCUACCUUAGCCAAUGAAGCAAGCUCUGAAGCUACAGUAACCAAUGAAGCAAGCGCUGAAGCUAAAAUAUGCAUUGAAGUAAGCUCUGAAGGUAAAAGAGCCAAUGAAGCAAGCUCAGAAGCUAAAAUAGC